UCUAGAGCUAAUACAUGCAGUUUCAGGGUGGUGUAACAGCCAUCCUUUGCAUUUAUUAGAAGAAAACCGACUACGGUGGUGAGGUCGAAAGCUUCGCCUCCGUAAGGUGAAUCUAGAUAACUUUGCAGAUCGUAUGGCCUUGAGCCGGCGACAUUUCAAUUGAAUUUCUGCCCUAUCAACUUGUUGGUAAGGUAGUGGCUUACCAAGGUUUCAACGGGUAACGGGGAAUCAGGGUUCGAUUCCGGAGAGGGAGCCUGAGAAAUGGCUACCACAUCCAAGGGCGGCAGCAGGCGCGCAAAUUACCCAAUCCAGAUUCUGGGAGGUGGUGAUGAGAAAUACUAGAUGGUUUCCCUAUGGGAUGCCAUACUGGAAUGGACGUAACUCAAGAAAUUCGAUGAGUAACAACUAGAGGGCAAGUCUGGUGCCAGCAGCCGCGGUAAUUCCAGCUCUAGUAGUGUAUCGUAAAGUUGCUGCGUUUAAAAAGCUCGUAGUUGGAUUACGCAGCAUGAAUUAGUCGAUUGGCGCUGUGGUACGCAAAAUCUGUGUGGAGAUCAACCUUUUCGUGGUUAAUCCCGGAGGGGCGGGUUUUCACAUGGAGUAUCACGCGUCGAUUAAAAGCUGAUUCAUGCUACUUAUACGUGAGAAUGGUGGUUGACCUUAAGUGUGUUGACCAUUGUGUCUUACGAGGUGUGCCUUGAAUAAAUCAGAGUGCUCAAAGCAGGCGAAAGCUUGAAUGUUAAUAGCAUGGAACGAACAAUUGUGUUUUUGGCGCUCCAGAUUGGAGUUUUCGUGGGUUUAUAUCUGCGUCUAGUCCGAUUUGGGGCGCAGCACCAACCACCAAUAACGGAUGUUGGUUUCCGUAUUGGGGUGAUGAUUAAAAGGAGCGGUUGGGGGCAUUGGUAUUUGGCCGCGAGAGGUGAAAUUCUUGGACCGGCUAAGGACUAACAAAUGCGAAGGCAUCUGUCAAGACCGUUUCCAUUAAUCAAGAACGAUAGUGAGAGGUUCGAAGACGAUCAGAUACCGUCCUAGUUCUCACCGUAAACUAUGCCGACCCGGGAUCAGUUUUGAGCAAUAUAACGCUCGCGGUUGGUCCCCCUGGGAAACCUCAAGUUUUUAGGUUACGGGGGGAGUAUGGUUGCAAGGCUGAAACUUAAAGGAAUUGACGGAAGGGCACCACCAGGGGUGGAGCCUGCGGCUUAAUUUGACUCAACACGGGAAAACUCACCUGGUCCGGACAUUGAUAUGAUUAACAGACUAAUAGAUCUUUUAUGAUACAGUGGUUGGUGGUGCAUGGCCGUUCUUAGUUCGUGGAGUGAUCUGUCAGGUUGAUUCCGGUAACGGACGAGACCAUAACUUUCAUUUCUGGAGCUGGAGAAAGCAGUAAUCAAGUGCUGGCUGGGCAACCAGUUAGUAUUUGGUUAUUGCUGUAGGCGGGGUAUGUGUUCUAUCAUUUUUGAGUAUGUUACUGGGAAGGGUGUAAAUCCGACACGGGAAUGUGCUUAAGAGUGGUAGUGUAGCAUGCUCUCCCUCCUGCCUGAUGUUGUUGGGGCUAAACCCCUAGCAAUGUACGAUGAAAGGACAACCAAGAAUACUUAAGAAGUUGGGGGAAGCGUUUGGCGAUAACAGGUCUGUGAUGCCCUUAGAUGUCCAGGGCCGCACGCGCGCUACAAUGAUAACAACAGCGAGUAUCUGGGUCGAAAGACUUGGGUAAUCUUGUCAAUUGUUAUCGUGAUGGGGAUUGAUCGUUGUAAUUAUCGGUCAUGAAAGAGGAAUCCCUAGUAUGUGCAUAUCAUUAGUAUGCACAGAUUAAGUCCCUGCCCUUUGUACACACCGCCCGUCGCUACUACCGAGUGAAUCGUGUCAUGAUGCCUUGGG
rnacentral:rRNA from 1 species